CAGUAGCCGCGGUAAUACGUAGGUGGCAAGCGUUGUCCGGAAUUAUUGGGCGUAAAGGGCUCGCAGGCGGUUUCUUAAGUCUGAUGUGAAAGCCCCCGGCUCAACCGGGGAGGGUCAUUGGAAACUGGGAAACUUGAGUGCAGAAGAGGAGGGUGGAAUUCCACGUGUAGCGGUGAAAUGCGUAGAGAUGUGGAGGAACACCAGUGGCGAAGGCGACUCUCUGGUCUGUAACUGACGCUGAGGAGCGAAAGCGUGGGGAGCGAACAGGAUUAGAUACCCGCGUAGUCCCUGUCUCUUAUAC
rnacentral:rRNA from 1 species